rnacentral:rRNA from 1 species
UACGUAGGGGGCAAGCGUUGUCCGGAAUCAUUGGGCGUAAAGCGCGUGUAGGCGGCUCGAUAAGUCUGCUGUGAAAGUUCAGGGCUCAACCCUGAAAUGCCGGUGGAAACUGUCGGGCUAGAGUCCGGAAGAGGCGAGUGGAAUUCCUGGUGUAGCGGUGAAAUGCGCAGAUAUCAGGAGGAACACCGGUGGCGAAGGCGGGUCUCUGGGCCGAUAUUGACGCUAAGGAGCGAAAGCGUGGGGAGCAAACAGGG